AUUGAACGCUGGCGGCAGGCUUAACACAUGCAAGUCGAGCGGGGAAAGGUAGCUUGCUACCUGACCUAGCGGCGGACGGGUGAGUAAUGCUUAGGAAUCUGCCUAUUAGUGGGGGACAACAUCUCGAAAGGGAUGCUAAUACCGCAUACGUCCUACGGGAGAAAGCAGGGGACCUUCGGGCCUUGCGCUAAUAGAUGAGCCUAAGUCGGAUUAGCUAGUUGGUGGGGUAAAGGCCUACCAAGGCGACGAUCUGUAGCGGGUCUGAGAGGAUGAUCCGCCACACUUGGACUGAUACACGGCCAAGACUCCUACGGGAGGCAGCAGUGGGGAAUAUUGGACAAUGGGGGGAACCCUGAUCCAGCCAUGCCGCGUGUGUGAAGAAGGCCUUUUGGUUGUAAAGCACUUUAAGCGAGGAGGAGGCUACCGAGAUUAAUACUCUUGGAUAGUGGACGUUACUCGCAGAAUAAGCACCGGCUAACUCUGUG
rnacentral:rRNA from 1 species